rnacentral:snoRNA from 1 species
CACCAGGGAUGACUUGCCAUGCUAAUACCGAGGCAUCGCAUGGGGCCGUUGGCUCUAAACGCGGGUGCCAGUGAGUUAAGCUUGCUUCUCACGGGAAGAACUGAGGUGU